GGAAGUAGAAGUCGUAACAAGGUCUCCGUUGGUGAACCAGCGGAGGGAUCAUUACCGAGUUUACAACUCCCAAACCCAAUGUGAACGUUACCAAACUGUUGCCUCGGCGGGAUCUCUGCCCCGGGUGCGUCGCAGCCCCGGACCAAGGCGCCCGCCGGAGGACCAACCAAAACUCUUUACGUAUACCCCCUCGCGGGUUUUUUUACAAUCUGAGCCAUCUCGGCGCCCCUCGUGGGCGUUUCGAAAAUGAAUCAAAACUUUCAACAACGGAUCUCUUGGUUCUG
rnacentral:misc_RNA from 1 species